rnacentral:snRNA from 1 species
GAGUGUUAGGGUGAUCUAGCUGUGAAAUAUCUCACCAUAUUAGUCACCAUGAUUGAACUGGCUGACAUCCUGACACCGCUGUUUGGUGGAUUUCCCCUUUCUUCUUCUCCAAUCCAUAUGAGGGCCACAGCAAAGAAGCUGUGUGGUGAAUACAAGAAAAUGGCCUUUCUUAUAGAGGGAUCCCAGUUCUCCAUUAAGGAUAUUAGAGUAACAAUGCACUCCCAUUAAAUUUUUACUCUAAACAAGCUCUAAACAUCCAUUAAGUAGGUAUUUUUCUUACUAAUGUCUCUAAAUUGUGAGCUU